rnacentral:rRNA from 1 species
GACGAACGCUGGCGGCGUGCUUAACACAUGCAAGUCGAACGGAAAGGCCCUGCUUUUGUGGGGUGCUCGAGUGGCGAACGGGUGAGUAACACGUGAGUAACCUGCCCUUGACUUUGGGAUAACUUCAGGAAACUGGGGCUAAUACCGGAUAGGAGCUCCUGCUGCAUGGUGGGGGUUGGAAAGUUUCGGCGGUUGGGGAUGGACUCGCGGCUUAUGAGCUUGUUGGUGGGGUAGUGGCUUACCAAGGCUUUGACGGGUAGCCGGCCUGAGAGGGUGAACGGCGACAUGGGGACUGAGAUACGGACCAGACGCGUACGGGAGGCAGCAGGGGGGAGUAUUGCACAAUGGGCGGAAGCCUGAGGCAGAAACGCCGCGUGCGGGAUGACGGCCUUCGGGUUGUAAACCGCUUUAGCCUGUGACGAAGCGUGAGUGACGGUAAUGGGUAAAGAAGCACCGGCUAACUACGUG